rnacentral:rRNA from 1 species
ACUAUACGGUUGUGUCUGUCGGACCAGGUUAUUUAUCAUGUGAUGGAUGAGAAUUCGCCGAGGAAGAUUUGGGAGAAGCUGGAAAGUCAGUUUAUGUCCAAGACUGCGACGACCAAGGUCUAUCUGAAGCAAAACUUGUAUGGAAUGAGGAUGCAGGAGGGG